GACAGAGGGUGCAAACGUUGUUCGGAAUUACUGGGCGUAAAGCGCACGUAGGCGGCCGAUUAAGUCGGGUGUGAAAGCCCAGGGCUCAACCCUGGAAGUGCACUCGAAACUGGACGGCUUGAAUAUGGAAGAGGGUUGCGGAAUUCCCGGUGUAGAGGUGAAAUUCGUAGAUAUCGGGAGGAACACCAGUGGCGAAGGCGGCAACCUGGGCCAAUAUUGACGCUGAGGUGCGAAAGCGUGGGGAGCAAACAGG
rnacentral:rRNA from 1 species